UACGUAGGGGGCGAGCGUUGUCCGGAUUUAUUGGGCGUAAAGGGCGUGUAGGCGGCCUGUUAAGUCGGAGGUGAAACCCCAGAGCUCAACUCUGGGCCUGCCUCCGAAACUGAUGGGCUUGAGUAUCCUAGAGGGUAGUGGAAUUCCCGGUGUAGCAGUGAAAUGCGUAGAGAUCGGGAGGAACACCAGUGGCGAAGGCGACACGCUGGGCCGUACCUGACACUGAUGCGCGACAGCAUGGGGAGCAAACAGG
rnacentral:rRNA from 1 species